AGGCAAAAUAACCGGCUAAAAGAGUGUUAAGUAAAGUGAUUCGAUGAGACUUUCAGAUUUUUCAUUUAUUUACUAGUACACGAGUACACCUGAGUUGACAAUCUGCUUGCGAAAAUCCGAGAUCACAUCCUUGUUGAAAAUAGUUAAAACACAAACUGAGAUAAGAGUGAAAAAAGUGCGGAAAGCACGAGCAGAAAUUGCAGAAAAAUGAUAAAAGACUGGAUAAAAGAAGUCUCCAUGUUACAUAUACUUUCAAUAGGAAAGGAUAGGUUAUAGUUAUAUGUUAUUAGUUUAUUACAUAUUUACCAAUGAGAUGUUCCGGUCCCCUGUUCCGGCUCUUCUGGUUUGGUAUUUACAGAUUAGCUUUUUGAUUGGUUCAUAGAACUGAAUCCCACGGGACCCCUCGUAGUCCCUACCAAUGGUAUUACAGGAACCCUCUCUUUGUUUUAUGAUUGGUUUUCGUCUCGCCGAUCGCCGAUGAGCCCCCCUACCUUCGUGGUUGUUGUAUCAACAGAACUGAGGUGAUAAGGUAUUCAUUUUAGAUAUUUUCAUAUUUUUGCAGUUUCAGCAAUUAGCUUUGCACUUCGUAGCUGCUCCGCAGUUCCUUGAAGAACACUUAACCUUUUCAAUGAAUUCAUCCAGAGUCGAAUCAAAGUCAAUGUAUUUUCUGUGUGUAUACAUGUCAAUCCAGCCAUAGCAAUACCAUGACACUUCCAUUGUGCUCCAAGACCUCAAGUGUGGGCAUUUUAGUGCCGGUCUAGUCACAUUAUCGUGAAUAUCUGACAAUGAAUUACUAUUCCUAACUGCCUUAAUCUAUUCCUGCCAUAGCUUGAAGCCUUUGAGAUGGCCUCAUCCAGCAGUGUUGGUGGUCCAGCCUGCACCUCAGCGGAAACGUCUGAAGAAGCCAUGAGGAGGUUCAAGUUCUACGCUCAGAGAAAAUUUGCUCAAGGAAUGUCAUCGCCUUCAAUAACAAGUGAAGAGAUGGCUAAACCAAUGAUAGCUCAACUGCCACUAAUUCCAAAGCUCCACCAUUAUCAGCGGAGGAAGUUCCAGAAGCAACACAUGUGUUACCAGUCAAAAGGCCAAACACAGAGGAUUUUUUAACAUUCCUUUGUUUUCGAAGAACAAGUAUUUUACCUCCGAGUUUAGAUUUUUUCAAUACUGCCUGUACCUAUGAGACUGAUUCCCCUCAUUAAUGAUGAUAAGACUUCUAAUCAUAGCACUAGUAGAAACCCAUCGGUAAGAAAUCAGUUUUUCUUUCUAACUUACGAAUUAUUAAUAAAGAUGAACCUAUCUUACUGUCCAUAUCUUUUUCAGUUUUGCUUUAAGGUGUGAAACCACUGUGGCACACAUUGUUUCCUAGCCAAAAUAUCUACCCUUUUUGAAGUUGGACGCUUAUGAUUGCACGCAUUUUUACAUAGAUUGUGAAGUUAGGAAUGAAUUUCAUACUUUUCCUGAUGUGAUCAUUAUGAUUUUUGAGUCCUCAUUCAUGUUGGAGCGGAUGAAGAAAAAAAUAAAUUAUUAUUUUUAUUAUCAUUAUUUUUUUUAAAACUCAAUUAUUAUUAUUAUUAUUAUUCACUGUGAGGAACAACUUCUUUUCACUCAAACAAACUUUAGAUCAGAUCCAUCGUAGAAUGGCAAAAUUUGCCUCUAGGCAGUCAACAAGACUGUAAUUAAUUAUUAAUUCGAGUUUGAACAAUUGUCAAAUUUAAAUUUAUUUAUUUAUUUUAAUACAAACAGGCUAGAAAGCCUAUACAAGAAAGAAACUUAAAAGGUCCAAAUAAAAAAUGUGCCAAGACAGGAGUGAAGGUGAAAUAACAGCAAUUUUUGAAAAACAAUAACAACAACAAUCCAACAAGAAGCUGAGAGGGAAAUAAGGAACUUAAUCAAGGUGAUUUGCAGUUGAAAGAAAGAAUCAGGCCCUUCCUAGCAUUUUUAAAGCAAGUAAACAUCUAAAAUUGAGACACCUAAAUUCAGAAAAUAAUUCUAUUUAUGAUAUCUAUUCAACCUAAUUUUUGCUUUAGAUUUUUGUAACUUACCAUUAACUUUAUAAAGGAGGUAUUUUCUUUUACAGAUUUCUAACUGCCCAACCAAGCAGGGUCCUGUUACAAUGACAAAAAAAUCCCUAAAAUCAGGAAAGCAAUCUGCUAAGAACACCAUCGACGGCGCAAAUUAGCCCAGAAAGGUAAAAUAUGGCAACAUUUAAAUUUUAUGUACUCUGAAAAUCUGGUGAAAAAUCAUUCCUCAUACAUUUUCAAAUUCGCUCACUACUAUUGCAGAGACUGUUUCUUUGAGAAAUGUCAAAUACUGAUAAACAACAACAUUGAAUAAUGUGCAAGUGAGGAAACCUAACCUCUCUGUCUGAUCCAAACAGCACUAACAGUAUCAACCAUUACCCAUCUUUUGAGGUACAUCUUGCAUCUUCUAAGGUGUAAUAAUGAAUUCUGAGCUGCUAACAACAUUGAAUAUUAUGCAUGUGAGAGAACCAAACCUUUUUGUCUGAUCAAAACAGCAUCAACAGUAUCACUAUUACCCAUAUUUUAAGGAAUAUUUUGCUCCUUAUUUAGGUGUAAUAAUUAAUUCUAAGCUCAAUACUAUCAAUCUCUGAAAUGAUUAUAUAGUAGGGCUGUGCGAAUAUUCGCAAUUCCGACUAUUCGCUUUGUCUGCCUCGCGCACUAUUCGCAAACUGCGAAUAAUCGUGCUGUCGCAAAUAGUGAAUUUUUGAACUGACAUUUUCAAAUAUUCGCGCCGUCUUGAGGAACGAAUUUUCAAAUAUUCGUGCCAUCAAAAAUAACGAAUUUCCGAGUGGCAAUCGUGAAACGUUCGAGGACCUGCGCAAGCCUUCAGCUUCCACCCAUCGCGAACGGCGGAUCUCCUUUGAUCUUUACUGACUUUGCUAAGUUUAUGAACAGCGAGCGCUAUUGCGAUUGAGGGAAUAAGCGAAGAGCUCAAUUAAGGAUUGAAAGAAACAGAAAUGUCUGAAAUAGAAAAAAAAGUUCAGAAACAUUUUCAUUUACACACCGAAAAAAAUAAAAUACUAAAUGUGUCUGGUGUCUGUGUCUUCGAUACCAGCUUGACUGCCCGCACAGUUACCUUUAAAUCCUAGGAAUGCAUACGUAACUGCAGGGACAGUCAAGCCAGCAUCCAGGGAUCUUCAAACACAUUCUUAACAGCCUAGGCUACUAUCAUAGCAUUUCAUUGUUUUCUGUGCAGGUGUAUGAGCAAAUGGAAAAUUUUUAAAAAAAUAAUCACAUUUUUUUUGUCGACUUAUAUUCGCGAAUUUUGACACUUAGAAAGUCAUUUCAAAUCAUUCGUUUUACUAUUCGCAGCUGGGAAUAAUUGACUUAAAUUAUUCAUUAUUCGCUUCGCUAUUUGUGAAUAGUUGCCGAAAUGAUUCGCUUUUAGCUUCGUUCAGAAAAUUCACUAUUCGCACAACCCUAU
rnacentral:lncRNA from 1 species